rnacentral:tRNA from 1 species
UAUUUAAUUAGUAUAUAAGAGUACACUUAAUUUCCAAUUAAAAAGAUUUAUUGUAAAAUUAAAUAA